rfam:Anopheles funestus strain FTMOZ unplaced genomic scaffold supercont1.409, whole genome shotgun sequence.
UUCUUCCUUGUCUUGGGGAGCAUAAUGUCCAGUGAACGUAUAGUGAGGGCAUUGAUGCUGACAAACCCAUUAUAAAAGAUAGGUCCGUGUGUCCUUUUCUUAAUCUCCCCCCGUCCGCUGGUUCGCUUUCAAACAGCUGAUCCAGGUGGUCGGAAUUUUUGAAGCA